AAUAGAUACCCGGGUAGUCCACGCCGUAAACGAUGGAUGCUAGCUGUUAUGCGUAUCGACCCGUGUAGUAGCGAAGCUAACGCGUUAAGCAUCCCGCCUGGGGAGUACGAACGCAAGUUUAAAACUCAAAGGAAUUGACGGGGACCCGCACAAGCGGUGGAGCAUGUGGUUUAAUUCGAAGCAACGCGAAGAACCUUACCAGGGCUUGACAUCCCGCUGUCCCUCCUAGAGAUAGGAGCUCUCUUCGGAGCAGCGGUGACAGGUGGUGCAUGGUUGUCGUCAGCUCGUGUCGUGAGAUGUUGGGUUAAGUCCCGCAACGAGCGCAACCCUUGUCCUUAGUUGCCAGCAUUCAGUUGGACACUCUAGGGAGACUGCCGUCGACAAGACGGAGGAAGGUGGGGAUGACGUCAAAUCAUCAUGCCCCUUAUGUCCUGGGCUACACACGUGCUACAAUGGAUGGAACAACGGGCAGCCAACUCGCGAGAGUGCGCCAAUCCCUUAAAACCAUUCUCAGUUCGGAUUGCG
rnacentral:rRNA from 1 species